GUUUUAUCAGAUAGUAGUAUGGGAGUGUCCCAAGACCUGUGACCUCAGGGAAGAAAGUUGUGCUUAGGUAGACUUACCUGUUCUGCAGGACUCCAGAAUAUCCACAAAGUCCCUCCUUUUGAUUUUUGAAGACUCAUUAGUUCUUUAAGAUGAAACUAUUAAAAUGCAAUUCAUUGUCAGAACACAAAUUGGUGGUUUAACUUUUUUUUUUAAUUCAAGGAAGAAGACCGUGAUUUGGUCUUAGUGGUUUGCCGUUCAUGCUUUUGUCUG
rnacentral:lncRNA from 1 species